rnacentral:lncRNA from 10 species
GUGGGUGGCCCACACAGUGCAGGUGCUUGGAAGAUGGAUUCAGCAGGACUUGGUGACUGGCUGGGGAGGCGGGUGAGAAAGAAGAAGGGGUGGAUGGAGGGGCUAUCUACGGAGAUGGGGGGGUCGGGAGGGAGGGGGUGGUCUUGAGAGAAAGAAUCAUGAGACAGUUCUAGCCAAGCUUGGAUUGAGGUGCCUGAGAGACACCUGAGUGCAGGCAGCUGGGUGCCCAGGCCUGGGGCUCAGGAGGCGGGUGUGGGAUGAUCUAGGAAUUAUGAGCUAGAGAUGGAAAGUCAGCUAUGGGGGAGGCUAGGGAGAGAACAUGGGAAGAGAAGAGGGCCCAGGACACAACGUCAAUGACUGUUGGAAGAAGAGGCACCAAGGACACCGAGAAGCUGCUGGCGGAGCAGUGGGGGAAUAUCAAGUCAGAGAAUCCAGAAGGCCCUUGGAGGGUGUGGUCUGCAGGUGUGAGGAGGCCGAAAGCCCAGGCAGGUUGACGACUGUAAAACGCCGGUUGGAUUUAGCAAAAUGGAGGUCCGGGGCCUUGAGCAGGAGCAGGUUGAGUAGAGGGUGGGGAGGGGCAGAGACAGCCUCGUGGGAGGUGAAGCCUAGGAGAUGGGACUUGGAGAUAACAGGUUACUGCCAGGAACUGGGGCUGAAGGAGGAGGAAAGGAAUGGGACCGAGUUCAAUUGAAGAGGAUAGACAGGCUUGAUUUGUUUGCUUGUUGGUUUUUAGGGUGGGAGGAACUGGGCAUGUUUAAGAAGAGGGAGCCAGUCAGGAGAGAGAGGUUCAGUGUCUUUCCCAGAAUAGACCCUUGAGGCUAAGAACAACAACAAAAAAUCCAGUAGAGCCCCAGGAGGAAAGGAAUUUGGCUUUUUAGCUGAGUAGUGAAAAGGCAAGCUGGCAAUUGCCCUUUGGCUCUGCCAGGGAAGGUCAGAGAAAGGCCUCCCCAGUGAUGGAGAGGGGAAGGAAGUGAGGGGGAGAAAAAACAGUGGAGAGAUAAACAAGCCUUGGCUGGAAGGAGGAGAGAGAAGCCCCCUCUGAAGAAUAUGCAUUCCAGGAGAGCAGGGAUAUUUGUUUUGUUCCCCGAUGUAUCCCCUGGAUCUAGCACAGGACUGGCAGGAACCCCAGAUUCUUCUCCAUGGUCGGAAUCAUUGCAAAAUAACUGGUUUCCCUAGGAUCACCAGCUGUCAUGGACUGAUUUGUGUCUCUCCAAAUUCAUAUGUUGAAUACUUAACCUGCCAUGCGAUUGUGAUUGGAGAUAAUUCCUUUAGGGAAGCAAUGAAGGUUAAAUGAGGUCAUAGGUGGGAGCUUAAUCCAAUGGGACUGGGGUCCCUACAAGAAGAGGAAGACACCAGAGCUCUCUGUCUCCACACACAGAGAAAAGAGGCUGUAUGAGGACACAAGAGAAGGUAAUAGCUGUCUACAAACCAAGAAGAGAAGCCUCUCCAGAAAAUGAACCCUGCUGGAACUUGGUCUUGGACUUUCCAGCCUCCAGAACUGGGAGAAAAUAAAGUUCAAAAUAAAGUUCUGUUGUGUAAGCCCCCGAGUCCAUGGUAUUUUGUUAUGGCAGCCCUAGCAGACUAAUAACACCUGCUAAUUAAACUGCUUGUUCUCCACUUGUUGUCUCAGGGUCUGUUCCUAGGGAACCUGGACUCAGACAGAUGCUCUGCUUAAUUAGACCCCAGGGAAAUGUAAAUGAAAACCACGUGUGAUGCCAUGUCACAAGUACUAGGAUAACCAGAAGGAAAUCUGACCACAUCGGAUGCUGGUGAGGUUGGGAAGCUGUCAUAUUUAGCUGACGGAGGUGUGAGUCGGCAAACCACUUUGGAAAAC